AGUCGAGCGGAACGAUGGUAGCUUGCUACCAGGCGUCGAGCGGCGGACGGGUGAGUAAUACUUAGGAAUCUACCUAGUAGUGGGGGAUAGCACGGGGAAACUCGUAUUAAUACCGCAUACGACCUACGGGAGAAAGGGGGCAGUUUACUGCUCUCGCUAUUAGAUAAGCCUAAGUCGGAUUAGCUAGAUGGUGGGGUAAAGGCCUACCAUGGCGACGAUCUGUAGCUGGUCUGAGAGGAUGAUCAGCCACACCGGGACUGAGACACGGCCCGGACUCCUACGGGAGGCAGCAGUGGGGAAUAUUGGACAAUGGGGGAAACCCUGAUCCAGCCAUGCCGCGUGUGUGAAGAAGGCCUUUUGGUUGUAAAGCACUUUAAGCAGUGAAGAAGACUCUUCGGUUAAUACCCGGAGACGAUGACAUUAGCUGCAGAAUAAGCACCGGCUAACUCUGUGCCAGCAGCCGCGGUAA
rnacentral:rRNA from 1 species